UAGUCCACGCCGUAAACGAUGUCUACUAGUUGUCUGUGUCUUUAAGACGUGGGUAACGCAGCUAACGCACUAAGUAGACCGCCUGGGGAGUACGGCCGCAAGGUUAAAACUCAAAUGAAUUGACGGGGCCCGCACAAGCGGUGGAGCAUGUGGUUUAAUUCGAUGCAACGCGAAGAACCUUACCAUCCCUUGACAUCCAGAGAAUCACCUAGAGAUAGAUGAGUGCCUUCGGGAGCUCUGAGACAGGUGCUGCAUGGCUGUCGUCAGCUCGUGUUGUGAAAUGUUGGGUUAAGUCCCGCAACGAGCGCAACCCUUAUCCUUAGUUGCCAGCACGUAAUGGUGGGAACUCUAAGGAGACUGCCGGUGACAAACCGGAGGAAGGUGGGGACGACGUCAAGUCAUCAUGGGCCCUUACGGGGAUGGGGCUACACACGUGCUACAAUGGGCGUAUACAGAGGGAAGCGAACUUGCGAGAGUAAGCGGGAUCCCACAAAGU
rnacentral:rRNA from 1 species